GGUGUGAUGGCGUGGAUCGAUCAGAGCAAAGGGGGGAGAAGACAAACCCUAACUUCAUGAAAUUCUCAAGAAUUGAAAGAGAUUAGGAGCCCAAACUAAUGCAUGAACUCGAAACCUCAAUCAUCUAAGCUUGUACAACAAGCGGAACGUGUCAAGGAGAGGUCAAGCAUAGGAGGAUAACGGGUCAAGAUAAGGCAAGAUGACAAAUACACUUAUUGGAGUACUCGAGGUAAGUGAAUUUCGAUCCACUUUUUAGUAGGUUUAAUAGAUUUUAAUACUUAUGUUUACGAAACAUCAUGAAAGAACAUGUAAUAAUCAGAAGUACAAAGCCAAUAAUGCCUCAUUAUUGAAGAAGGUUGUAUUUAAGCCGAAGGUAAAUUGGUGGGUUUAAACGGGUCGAAUUUUAUGUGCAUAUGUUGCGUAAUGAAAUGAAAUUCGUUAUGGUUAAGACCUUGGGUAAGAAUUUUAGUCAUUAUGUAAGGGGAACAUUUCCCGGACCAUUAGGUACAAGUUUUAUAUGAUUCGGUUGUCGGUCAAUGAAUGAACGGAUUGUUUCGUUUUAGUGUAGGAAAUUUUAUAAGUAUAUGUGUAUAGGAAUCCAAAGGCCACGUGGGUUGAAUCGUAGAUUGUCUAUACUAUGUAAAGUUUUGAAUGUGACAUUCCGGCAUAAACCUGCAUAUAAAAGAAGCUUGUGUAUAUAUUCGUGAUUAAUUGAUUGUGCGAAGGAAGGAACAUUGGCAUGAAUGAAGGUACGCACAUAUAUAUAUAAGUGUAUAUAUAUAUAUAUGUAUGUAUGUAUGAUAAUAAGUACGUAGGUGUGAAUGUAUGUGUGAAUGAAUGUUCAAUGCUUAAGACAUAUGCAUGAACGUAUCAAAGGGUUCGAGUAUUUAUGGAUACUAAUGAUGUGCGUUGAGUUGGAAUGUAAUGUAGGUAUGGGGUCGUUGGCUUCAUGAAGAAAUGGAGCUGGAUUUGGAUAAGAGUAUUUAAGAAAGCGCUUGGACAAUUCCACGACUGCUUUAUAGAAUGCUCUACGAAAUUUUAUUAUAUAGUUUAAUGUUGAAUGAUAUGUUAAUAACUAAUGGUUUGGUUGUACGUGGUGUCCACAGGUAUCGCUUGGGUUUUCUCUACUUUUAUUGAAGUGAAGCGGACUUAGUUCGAGUUGAGAGCAAGGAUUGUACGGGGUAGAAUGGUCACAUAGUGUAACUCAUAUAGGUUUUGAAGUAUUAAUGUUAUAAAACGUUAUAAAUCCGUUUUAAUGAAUAUAUGGCAUUUCGCAUUUGAACUUUCAUGUGUUUGAUAUGUCUAUUAAAGAACGAAAUUUUUGGGCUCUUGUUUUCCGCUGCGUCGUAUUUUAAGUUAUUACGCGUUAGUCUUACAGGGAAUUGUUCUUAUUACGAACGGGUCAUGCCCGAAUUUUGUUAAAUAAUAGUAUGAUAAUAUUACAUUUUGGAAUGUGUAAUUUGGGCGUAACAAGUUGGUAUCAGAGCCCUGGUUUGAGAGAAUUAAGUACGAGAGUAUAAGUACUUGAACUCAAACCUGUGUGCUCUUGUGAUAAGGAACCCGUACAAUCCAUGACUCGAUCAAGAUCUAAAGGUAGAAAUGGAACGAAAAUGUGUAAGUAUGUAUUAGGUUAUGUAUUUGAAAGAAACUAAUAGUGUGUUAUGUGCAAGGUAAGCUUAAGAUCUUGAAGAGGAUGAUCCGUGAAUACAGAAUGGGAUGAACGCUAAGGCGGGCAAAGGUGCAAAUAGGCAAAUUAACCCCAGGUACACAUUACUAAUAUGUAUGAGUACCGAUGUCAAAAGAAAAAGGAAGGGGUCUCCUUGGGAGGGAAAUUAUUAAACGAAAGACAAUGAUGUGGUCUUGGGGAAGUUUUAGAAAUGUGCACGAAACUGAAACCCAUUUCUCGGGCAUAAGGCGAUGAUUACACGAAGGCACGAAACUAGUGUGUGAAUUGCGCACCUGGCCAGUACGCAAGAAGCAUAUGACGUUCGUGAGACCGUGGCAAUUAUUGCAGGUAUGUCCGGUAGAACUGGGUAGCAGGUGGGCGCUAUGUUGUAGCGAAUCCGAAAUAGCAAAUCCAUUGCGGAUUUGGUUAUGCUAACGAAGGUUAUGAAAAGUUAUGCGAGUCGACCGGUUCUAGCGAACAAGUCGAAUAAGAAUAAGCUACCAUCCGUUUUGAACGGGUGAUUUUGAAUGCUCUAAUGAAUGCUAGAAGCUUAAUCCGUUAUACGGAUUGAAAGAAGAAGUUAUGAUUAAAUGUGAAAAACCCAAUUAUUUGGGUAGUGGAAAAUGUGUAUGCUUAACUCUCGUUGAGAGUGUUUAUGCCAAACCCAAUUAUUUGGGUAGUGGAAUGUGUAUGCUUAACUCUCCUUGAGAGUGUUUAUGCCGAAACCCAAUUAUUUGGGUAGUCGAAUGUGUAUGCUUAACUCUCUUUGAGAGUGUUUAUGCCAAACCCAAUUACUUGGGUAGUCGAAUGU
rnacentral:lncRNA from 1 species